AGGUAAUGCACCAUAACGUUGGAUGCCAACCGCCAUUAAACUCCACUGAAGAAGAAGAAGACCUCUGCGCAGCCUGCUUUCUCGAACACGUCGGUCAACAUUACAACAGUUGGGACAGAGCGCCCGGUAGGCUACACAACAACACAAAAAUAAAUAAUUUUGUAAGUAAAGCGGGGGUUUGUUUGAUAGAAGAAUGUCAAGGAAAGAUUUGCUAGCUAAUGUUAGCUAACUUAACUAGGUAAUUUUAACAUUAGCUAACUAACGUUAGCUCUCUGGCUAAUCAUCCAUGGACAUGGAAUCUUCUAGCUUGGAUGGGAGGAGGGAACAAAGGGAAGGGGUACUGAAGUUAUCCAGCCUGCUGACUAAGAAAUUUCCGGAAACAUGUCAGUGACCUGAUGCAUGGCCUCUACAGCAGUGCUUGUCCACCCACUCAGUUACCAGUGACCUAUUCUGCCACAUCCCAGGGAAAGUAGAGAGCAGAACCACCUCUCCUUAAAUCCAUAGUCAUUAACCAUGUUUCCAUCCACAGUUUUUAUGCAUGUCAUACCUUAUAAAAAAAAGUCAAGACGCAUUUAUGCGCAAAUAUUGAUAUAAGAACCAUCAUAUCGAAGUAAACUUGGGAGGCACACGAUGAUAUGGCGGGUGGUCCUCCCACUACGACUCGGGAAAGCGUGCAGUUUAUUAGGCUACAGAUGAAAUAAGUUAUG